CUGCUGGACUGGAGAGUCCACACUGCGGACUGGAAACUCUCAGUCUGUCAGGAUGUCUGAUCACAGAGGAAGGCUGUGCUUCUCUGGCCUCAGCUCUGAGUGCCAACCCCUCCCAUCUGAGAGAGCUGGACCUGAGAUACAAUCAUCCAGGAGACUCAGGAGAGAAGAUCCUGUCUGCUGGACUGGAGGAUCCACACUGGAGACUGGACACUCUCAGGCUGCAGCCUGCUGGAGAACGAUGGUUGACACCAGGUCCUUGGAGAU